rnacentral:lncRNA from 1 species
UGGGAGAAGCUAUCAUCUGUCACCCAGGGUGGACGGCUGGCAGGCUCCGCAGGGCCCCCGCUGUAGGCCACCGAGGGUGCAGGGUUAUAGUUGGGGGCAGGUGAGGGGGUAUAGGCUGGUGCUGGGGAUGGAGUGUAGGUGGGGACAGGGGAGGGGGUGUAGGGAGUGGGACUGUAAUUGGCCCCUGGGGACGGGCUGUAGGUAGAUGCAGGCACUG